AUUGAACGCUGGCGGAAUGCUUUACACAUGCAAGUCGAACGGCAACACGGACUUCGGUCUGGUGGCGAGUGGCGAACGGGUGAGUAAUGUAUCGGAACGUGCCCAGUCGUGGGGGAUAACGUAGUGAAAAUUACGCUAAUACCGCAUACGAUCUAUGGAUGAAAGCGGGGGAUCGCAAGACCUCGCGCGAUUGGAGCGGCCGAUAUCAGAUUAGGUAGUUGGUGGGGUAAAGGCCCACCAAGCCAACGAUCUGUAGCUGGUCUGAGAGGACGACCAGCCACACUGGAACUGAGACACGUUCCAGACUCCUACGGGAGGCAGCAGUGGGGAAUUUUGGACAAUGGGCGAAAGCCUGAUCCAGCCAUUCCGCGUGCAGGAUGAAGGCCCUCGGGAUGUAAACUGCUUUUGUACAGAACGAAAAGGUUUCUACUAAUACUAGGAGCUCAUGACGGGACUGUAAGAAUAAGCACCGGCUAACUACGUGCCAGCCGCCGCAGUAA
rnacentral:rRNA from 1 species